rnacentral:rRNA from 1 species
AGUGGGGAAUCUUCCGCAAUGGACGAAAGUCUGACGGAGCAACGCCGCGUGGGUGAUGAAGGUUUUCGGAUUGUAAAGCCCUGUCUGGAGGGAAGAAAUAUUGACGGUACCUCCGGAGGAAGCCCCGGCUAACUACGUGCCAGCAGCCGCGGUAAUACGUAGGGGGCAAGCGUUGUCCGGAAUUACUGGGCGUAAAGAGCACGUAGGCGGUCUUUUAAGUCAGAUGUGAAAUAUGCCGGCUCAACCGGCAGGGUGCAUUUGAUACUGGGAGACUAGAGUGCAGGAGAGGAAAGUGGAAUUCCUAGUGUAGCGGUGAAAUGCGUAGAUAUUAGGAGGAACACCGGUGGCGAAGGCGGCUUUCUGGACUGUAACUGACGCUGAGGUGCGAAAGCCAGGGGAGCAAACGGGAUUAGAUACCCCGGUAGUCCUGGCCGUAAACGAUGGGUACUAGGUGUAGGAGGUAUCGACCCCUUCUGUGCCGCAGUUAACACAAUAAGUACCCCGCCUGGGGAGUACGGCCGCAAGGCUG